rnacentral:rRNA from 1 species
AGUGAACGCUGGCGGUAGGCCUAACACAUGCAAGUCGAACGGCAGCACAGUAAGAGCUUGCUCUUACGGGUGGCGAGUGGCGGACGGGUGAGGAAUACAUCGGAAUCUACUUUUUCGUGGGGGAUAACGUAGGCAAACUUACGCUAAUACCGCAUACGACCUACGGGUGAAAGCAGGGGAUCUUCGGACCUUGCGCGAUUGAAUGAGCCGAUGUCGGAUUAGCUAGUUGGCGGGGUAAAGGCCCACCAAGGCGACGAUCCGUAGCUGGUCUGAGAGGAUGAUCAGCCACACUGGAACUGAGACACGGUCCAGACUCCUACGGGAGGCAGCAGUGGGGAAUAUUGGGCAAUGGGCGCAAGCCUGAUCCAGCCAUACCGCGUGGGUGAAGAAGGCCUUCGGGUUGUAAAGCCCUUUUGUUGGGAAAGAAAAGCAGCAGGUUAAUACCCCGCUGUUCUGACGGUACCCAAAGAAUAAGCACCGGCUAACUUCGUG